rnacentral:rRNA from 1 species
AGCGAACGCUGGCGGCAGGCCUAACACAUGCAAGUCGAACGAAGUCUUCGGACUUAGUGGCGGACGGGUGAGUAACACGUGGGAACGUACCUUUUGGUUCGGAACAACUCAGGGAAACUUGAGCUAAUACCGAAUGUGCCCUUAGGGGGAAAGAUUUAUCGCCAUUAGAGCGGCCCGCGUUAGAUUAGCUAGUUGGUGGGGUAAAGGCCCACCAAGGCUACGAUCUAUAGCUGGUCUGAGAGGAUGAUCAGCCACACUGGGACUGAGACACGGCCCAGACUCCUACGGGAGGCGUCAGUGGGGAAUCUUGCGCAAUGGGCGAAAGCCUGACGCAGCCAUGCCGCGUGAAUGAUGAAGGUCUUAGGAUUGUAAAAUUCCUUUACCAGGGACGAUAAUGACGGUACCUGGAGAAAAAGCCCCGGCUAACUUCGUGCCAGCAGCCGCCGUAAUAC